GCCAGCAGCCGCGGUAAUACGAAGGGUGCAAGCGUUACUCGGAAUUACUGGGCGUAAAGCGUGCGUAGGUGGUUCGUUAAGUCUGCCGUGAAAGCCCCGGGCUCAACCUGGGAAUGGCGGUGGAUACUGGCGGACUAGAGUGCGGUAGAGGGUGGUGGAAUUCCCGGUGUAGCAGUGAAAUGCGUAGAGAUCGGGAGGAACAUCUGUGGCGAAGGCGGCCACCUGGACCAGCACUGACACUGAGGCACGAAAGCGUGGGGAGCAAACAGGAUUAGAUACCCUGGUAGUCCACGCCCUAAACGAUGCGAACUGGACGUUGGGAGCAACUAGGCUCUCAGUGUCGAAGCUAACGCGUUAAGUUCGCCGCCUGGGGAGUACGGUCGCAAGACUGAAACUCAAAGGAAUUGACGGGGGCCCGCACAAG
rnacentral:rRNA from 1 species